GACCUAGUGGCGAAGGGAAUCGCACCUGCUUCUGAUUUGUGGUUUCUUUUAACAAGUUCAACGCAGGAGUUCCUGGUUCGAAUCCAGGCUAGGUCA